rnacentral:misc_RNA from 1 species
AACGCACAUUGCGCCCCCCGGCACUCCGGGGGGCACGUCCGACCGAGCGCCGCAUAAAGACGCUCGGGGGCGCGCCUGCUUCGCACGAAGCCGGCGCGGCCCCCGGUGCUGGGACGCGCGGCAAAGGGGCCCGUAUGGGCCCUCCGCAGUCCCCAAACGCAGCGGCGGCCGUCGCCCGCGGUCCCCCAGGUGCAGUACUGUUUUUUGACAUCUCGCCUAGAGGGGCUCCGCGGGGGCUUGCCUCGACACCAGAGUAUCAUUCUCGAACGAUGCUUUUGGCCUCGGGUCGGACGAGGCUACCCGCUGAACUUAA